UACGUAGGCAGCGAGCGUUGUUCGGAGUUACUGGGCGUAAAGCGUGUGUAGGCGGCCACGUAAGUCGGAUGUGAAAGCCCCAGGCUCAACCUGGGAAGUGCACUCGAUACUGCGUGGCUUGAGUAUCGGAGAGGUUGGUGGAAUUCUCGGUGUAGAGGUGAAAUUCGUAGAUAUCGAGAGGAACACCGGUGGCGAAGGCGGCCAACUGGACGAAUACUGACGCUGAGACACGAAAGCGUGGGGGAGCAAACAGA
rnacentral:rRNA from 1 species